UACAGGGGGUGCAAACGUUGCUCGGAAUCAUUGGGCGUAAAGCGCCCGUAGGCGGUUCGUUAUGUCGGAUGUGAAAGCCCUUGGCUUAACCGAGGAAGUGCAUCCGAAACUGGCGAGCUAGAGUACUAAAGAGGAUCGCGGAAUUCCCGGUGUAGAGGUGAAAUUCGUAGAUAUCGGGAGGAACACCGGUGGCGAAGGCGGCGAUCUGGGUAGAUACUGACGCUGAGGUGCGAAAGCGUGGGGAGCAAACAGG
rnacentral:rRNA from 1 species